UCUGGUUGAUCCUGCCAGAGGCUAUUGCUAUCCGGUUUCUACUAAGCCAUGCGAGUCCAGAGUGGUUAAGCACUCGGCGAACUGCUCCGUAAUAUGUAGCCAACCUACCCUUAGCUGGGGAAUAAUCUCGGGAAACUGAGGCUAAUGCCCUAUAGGUGUUGGAAACUGGAAUGUUCUAACACCCAAAGCCACGGCGACUAAGGAUGGGACUGCAGCUGAUUAGGCUGUUGUUGGUGUAAAGAACCAACAAACCGAUAAUCAGUACGGGCUAUGGAAGUAGGAGCCCGGAGAUGGAUUCUGAGACAUAAAUCCAGGUACUACGGUAUGCAGCAGGCGAGAAACCUUUUCAAUCUGCUAGCGCAGGAAAAGGGAAACUGGAGUGUUCUUGCUUUGCAAGAACUUUUGCUCUCUGCAAACAGGAGAGUGAAUAAGGGGUGGGUAAGAAGGUGCCAGCCACCGCGGUAAUACCCGCACCCCAAGUGAUAGCCACGAUUAUUGGGUCUAAAGCGUCCGUAGCCGGUCUAAAAAGUCCCUGGUGAAAUUUUACAGCAAACUGUAAAGCCUGCUAGGGAUACUGCUAGACUUGAGACCGGGAGAGAGUAGGGGUACUUUUCGGGUAGGGGUGAAAUCCUGUAAUCCGAAGGGGACCACCUGUGGCGAAGGCGCCUACUUGGAACGGGUCUGACGGUGAGGGACGAAAGCUAGGGGAGCGAUCGGGAUUAGAUACCCCGGUAGUCCUAGCCGUAAACAUUGCCCUCUUGGUGUUGCAGGCUUCUCGGGAGCUUGCAGUGCCGGAGCGUAGGUGUUAAGAGGGCCACCUGGGAAGUACAGUCGCAAGGCCGAAACUUAAGGGAAUUGGCGGGGGAGCACACAAGGGGUGGGCGUUGCGGUUUAAUUGGAUUCAACGCCGGAAAUCUUACCAGGGGCGACAGCAGGAUGAAGGUCAGUCUGAAGGGCUUACCAAACAAGCUGAGAGGUGGUGCAUGGCCAUCGUCAGCUCGUACCGUGAGGCGUGCCGUUAAGUCGGUUAACGAGCGAGACCCACAUCCCAUGUUGCUACUUGUUUCUUCGGAGGCAAGGCACUCAUGGGAGACUGCCAGCGAUAAGUUGGAUGAAGGAGUGGGCGACGGUAGGUCCGUAUGCCCCAAAUCUCCUGGGCUACACGCGACGCACAAUGCAUGUCACAAUGGGAUGCAAUCGCGAAAGCGAGAGCUAAUCCCCUAAAAGCAUGCUCAGUUCAGAUUGUGGGCUGUAACUCGCCCACAUGAAGCUGGAAUCCCUAGUAGGCGAAUGUCAUUAUCGUUCGCCGAAUACGUCCCUGCUCCUUGCACACACCGCCCGUCAAGCCAAUCGAGUGAAACUCAAUCGAGACCUGUUCUUCAUGGGCAGUUCAAGUUUGAGUUUUGCGAGAGGGGCUAAGUCGCCACAAGGUA
rnacentral:rRNA from 1 species